rnacentral:lncRNA from 1 species
UUUGGCCUUUCUGAGCUGUUUUUUCCUCAUUUUUGUGGAUUUAUCUAUCUUUGGUCUUUGAUGCUGGUGACCUUCGGAUGGGGUUUUUGUGUGGACGUCCUUUUUGUUGAUGUUGAUGCUAUUCCUUUCUGUUUGUUAGUUUUCCUUCUAACAGUCAGUCCUCUCUGCUGCAGGUCUGCUGGAGUUUGCUGAAGGUCCACUCCACACCCUGUUUGCCUGGGUAUCACCAGCAGAGGCUGCAGAACAGCAAAGUUUGCUUCCUGUUCCUUCCUUUGGAAGCUUCGUCCCAGAGGGGCACCCACCAGAUGCCAACCAGUGCUCUUCUGUAUGAGGUGUCGGUUGACCCCUGCUGGGAAGUGUCUCUCAGACAGGAGGCAUGGGGUCAGGGACCCACUUGAGGAGGCAGUCUGUCCCUUAGCAGAGUUAGAGCACUGUGCUGGGACAUCCGCUGCUCUCUUCAGAGCUGGCAGGCAAGAACAUUUAAGUCUGCUGAAGCUGCACCUCCUCCCCCAGGUGCUUUGUCCCUGGGAGAUGGGAGUUUGAUCUAUAAGCCCCUUACUGGGGCUGCUGCCUUUCUUUCAGAGAUGCCCUGCCCAGAGAGGAAGAAUCUAGAGAGGAGUCUGGCUACAGCAGCUUUGCCAACCUGUGGAGGGCUCUUUCCAGUUUAAGUUCCAGGUGGAUUUGUUUACACUGUGAGGGGAAAACCGCGCACUUCCCAAGUGAGGCGACUCCCCACCCUGCUUUGGCUCUCACUCUGGGGGCUGCACCCACUGUCUAACCAGUCCCAAUUAGAUUAACUGGGUACCUCAGUUAGAAGUGUAGAAAUCACCUGCCUUCUGUGUUGAUCUCGCUGGGAGCUGCAGCCUGGAGCUGUUCCUAUUCGGCCAUCUUGCCAGCCACCACCUUCUUCUCAUGAGCUUUCAUCUACAAAAUUUAUUCCUUCUUGAUGACUCCUGAUCUCAGUGAAUGUACCAAGUUAGAGACCUAGGAUUCAUUGCUGAUUCCCUCUUCUUGCUCAUUUUCCACAUGCAAUCAGUCUACAAGAUUUGCCUUAUGAUUUUUUACCACAAAAUAUCUCUUGAGGCCAUCUACUUCUCACUAAUUUUACUGCCACUGCCCCAGUAAGUAAGUAUGCUAGCCCCAGUCCAAGCUAGCAUAAUCUCUCUCUCGUCAGCUUCCACUAUGGAGGCUAGAGAGGCAAAAUACUUUAUUUUCCAGUUUCUCUUGCAGAUAGAGGAUGUUCAUGUGAUUUAUUUCUGACCAUUGAGUUGUUACCAGGUGGUCUUCAGAAAGUUCCUGGAAGAUAUUGUUUUCCUAAUAGAAUGUACAGAGAUGCUGGCAUUGUCCCUUGAUAUGUUUCAGCCAUUUUGAAUGCAGACUUCAUGCCCAGAGUUGAAACAGUCAUUCUGUAACCAUGAAGGAAAGGCCACUGAAAUCCACAGAGAUGCUGGCUGGACAUUUUUGAACCACGAAAUGAAUGGCCAUAGCUGCCUAUCUCUCAUCAUACUGUCACGUCUCAAUUAAAGCUAUGCAUGUGCAUUUCUUGAAGAUCAUCACAUCACAAACAGCAGAUGAAAAAAUAGCUUCCUGUGUUCCUAUGAAGACAGGCACUGUGGUUAGUGAUAGCUUUCACUGAACUGGAUUUCAGGACAGCAGUUAGAGAUUGACAUCAUUACCCUUCUGAAUCAAGAGGCGACAUGACUGACAUCACCUUUGAGUUUCCAGCCUCCUGGUGAUAUUGUUUGCUGCAUCUUACACCACAUACCUCAGUCAGCUUACUUUGCCCUGCUUCCAGGCAUCUGUGAACCAUCUGGCCUCUUGACGGAUCUGGCAUAUUUCAUGUAGAGAUGCUGAAUUCCAAAACUGGGCACCUAAAGGCUGAGCAUGAGGGAACAGGUCUUCUAAUCAGGUAUGCUGAUUUGGAGAGAAGACAUUGCAAAAGGCAGCUACAACCUCAGGCUGAAGAUUAGAUGACAGGACACCCAGAGUUUCCUUAGUUAAAUUUGUGAGGCUUUUCCCAGCAUGCCCAGUAAGAGGACAUAGGUAGUGGGGAGCAAAAAGAUAGAAAAGCAAAUGCAUAAAAUUGGCUUGCAGGAGACUGCUGGUUUAUCAACAGUUCCAGGAGAUAGCUAGCAUCACCUCUGCUUUGCCUCCAGCCUUCUGAAAUUAUUUCUAGCCAUGGGUGAGAGGGAUUCUUUCUUCCUCCCCUUCACAUCAAAUGCUGUACUGGAAAUCAAUCAAGCAUGUGGCCAGAGCCAAGAAUUGCAUCAUCAGUGUUUCUGAAUAAGAUCCAGGCAAGAAUGCCUCCCCCUCUGAGGCCUCUUACUGCAGGCCGCUAGGAAGAGCCCUCCAUGACUUGAAGGAUGAGAAAAAAAGCUGGAGCCUGUUGUAAGGCUGUCUAGUCCCAUUAAAAAACAAUGUCAAUGGAGAGAAAAAAGUCUUGUUUAAUAUUCUAUAUAUUUCUAAAGAGUCUGGGAAAAAGUGUGGUGAGGGAAGAGCAAAGAAAGCAAAGAUGUUGCUUUCAAACAUGAUAGGUCAAGUUCAUGGAGUUCUAUAGGUGAACACGUGUCAACAGCAUUCUUUUUUAUGGAGAUGAUUAUUUAUUGAGGUUUGAGUGUGAACCAGUCACUAGCGUAGCUAUUUUAUGUAGAGCAUUUAUUUCAUUCAGUCCUCAAAAUAGCCAAGCAAGUUGAAUGAUAAUACUCCCCUGGGACAAAAAGGUGUUCCGAUAAGUUAUGUAACUUGCUCAAGGUCAUGCAUGUUGUAUGCAGCUUCACACAAUGGUAUCACAUUAAGUAAUAUAAUUACUUAACAACGAGAG